AAUUGUUUGAUCCCACAAAUUUCAGAGAAUAUACAGAUAAUCCCAUUACCUUGAUAUUCUCUGAGUGAAAAAAACCAAUUUUAAUUUAUGAUGACCUAAAAUCCUAGUGCCAUGCCUAGAGGCAAUAGGAGGAACAGUCAUCA
rnacentral:snoRNA from 1 species